CAGUGGAAGCAUGGAGUCUUAACAACUGGACUGCCAGGGAAGUCCCUAUAGUUGUCUUUAUACUAUGUACUUACUCCACUGCUAUCUUCUUCCCAUUUAUAUUUCUAUUUUACUAUGGCCUCUGUGAUGAGAAAACCAUUAUAAAUAAAUACACUUAUUUUCUUAGUCCUCCUCUGUCCUUUUAACCCUUUGGCAGAAAGGAAAUCCAAUGCUCCCCCAAGGUACAAUCUCCUAGGGAGCCAGCACUCCUGAGUUCUGGUUUAUUAUUUCUCCCCAUACUCUAUGUACCACCAAGAGGCAGCCAUUCUCCUAGCACUCCAUCGUUGCUCUUAGGUUCUAUACGUUCUUCUGUGUGCAAAAUCUUAUCCUCUUAUGAGGCCCAUGCCAUGCGCCAUACUUCCAUCUUCCACUGUUUUUGUCGUCUUCUGAUUUAAUGGCUACUUUCAUAAAUCAUAGAGGCUUUUGGCCUUUGCUUCUUUGUCUUCCUUCUUCUAACCACUGUUCUCUUUUUCUCUACUCCAUGUCCUCCAUAUAUCCUGGGAUAUUUUAAAGUCCACGUGGAAGAUCCUUCUAAUGCUAUAACUUCAACAUUUUGUGACCUCCUCAAUAUAUGCUAUGGUGUCCUGUUUAAGAAAUCCAUUUCUUUCCCAAGGUCAUAGCAUUUUUUCUUCUAUUAUAAUAUUUUAUAAUUUUGCCUUUCAUAUUUAGAUCUUCAUUACACUAGAAUUAAAUUUUAUCUAUUUUGAGAGGUAGGAGUCUAAUUUCAUAUUUCUCUAUAGGUAGAUUCCUAAUUGCUGCUCCAUUUAUUGAAAAAUAGAUCUUUCCCCAAAGAUCUGAAAUUCCAGCUCUGUGAUAAAGCACAUUCCACUGACUAUGGGGCUUGGUGAAAGCUACCGUGUUCGCUACUGGGCGUUGUUAGAGAGUGAAUGCUUAACUGUGGAACACCGUGCAGUUGCCCAUGCAGCGUAGAUGUGGUCAGCAACUUGAUUGGGAUCAGCUCAUGGAUUGCUUUGUGGUUCAGAAGUUCUGGAAAUGGAUGCAGAGGAAAUGUCAGACCACAGGUA